rnacentral:miRNA from 1 species
UAAGUCUCACACCAGUGCAAAA